ACGGGGUGCAGCAGGCGCGAAAACUCCACAAUGCGCGAAAGCGUGAUGGGGUUACCCCGAGUGCCGUCCGUAAGGAUGGCUUUUCCUCAAUGUAAGGAGUUGGGGGAAUAAAGGGGGGGAAAGACUGGUGUCAGCCGCCGCGGUAAUACCAGCCCCCUGAGUGAUAGGGACGAUUAUUUAGCCUAAAGCGUUCGUAGCCGGUCAAGUAAGUCUUUCGUUAAAUCUGACGGCUUAAUCGUCAGACCGCGGAAGAUACUACUAGACUUGAGGGCGGGAGAGGUUGACGGUAUUCCUGGGGUAGGGGUGAAAUCCUAUAAUCCUAGGAGGACCACCAGUGGCGAAGGCGGUCAACCAGAACGCGCCUGACGGUGAUGGACGAAAGCUGGGGGAGCGAACCGGAUUAGAUACCCGGGUAGUCCCAGCUGUAAACGUUGCAGGCUAGGUGUUGGGGCAACUACGAGUUGCUUCAGUGCCGCAGAGAAGUUGUUAAGCCUGCCGCUUGGGAAGUACGGCCGCAAGGCUGAAACUUAAAGGAAUUGGCGGGAACGG
rnacentral:rRNA from 1 species